GACGAACGCUGGCGGCGUGCCUAAUACAUGCAAGUCGAACGCAGUGGGGACGGGUGAGUAACCCGUGGGUAACCUGCCCAUCAGAGGGCAUAACGCUUGGUAACAGGUGCUAGACCGAUACUGAUGGAUGGACCCGCGGUGCAUUAGCUCGAUGGUGAGGUAACGGCUCACCAAGGCCACGAUGCAUAGCCGACCUGAGAGGGUGAUCGGCCACACUGGGACUGAGACACGGCCCAGACUCCUACGGGAGGCAGCAGUAGGGAAUCUUCGGCAAUGGGCGCAAGUCUGACAGAGCAACGCCGCGUGAGUGAAGAAGGUUUUCGGAUCGUAAAACUCUGUUGUUAGAGAAGCGGUAUCUAACCAGAAAGCCACGGCUAACUACGUGCCAGCAGCCGCGGUAAUUC
rnacentral:rRNA from 1 species